rnacentral:lncRNA from 1 species
CCUAAUUUGAGACCAUGAUUUGUUUUGAGGCAGGGCAGAGGAUACAAAGAGGUAUUCUGGAUUCCAGUUAUUUAUUGCUAGCUAUGAUUUGAAUGUGUUCUCUCAGAACUUGAUACUGAAAUAUAGGAAUCAUUUUGGUGAUACUAAGAGAUUGGGCCUUGGGAGAAGUGUUUAAAUCACCGUCAUGAUCAGAUUAAUGCCUAAAAAAGGGCUGGAGACAACUCUAUUAUGCCUAUCCACUCUCUGCUCUUCUGUUUUGUGAGGGCACAGUGUUCAGGCCACCAUCUUGGAAGCAGAGAUUUGGCCCUCACCAGACACCAAACCUAUAGGUACCUUGAUCUUGGGACUUUCCAGCCACCAUAGCUAUGAUAAAAAUUCUAUUAUUUGCAAAUUACCCGUCUCAGGUACUUUGUUAUAGCAACACAAAAGAACUAACACACUGUUCUAUGCAAUAUCUAAAAAUCCAUCACUUGGUGUCAAUCUACUCUUACUGAUUUGAUUGUGAGUUAAAUAGAAUCAAUAGCUGCUUUCUUCAAUAUGGCAUUGAGCACCUUGCUUCCUACCCUCAGACAAGGUUUUGACAUACUUUUCAUGUCAUACACCCACC